ACUCACAGAAGCUGUGGGACCCAAGGGAAGGAGGCAUGGGGACUGUGUGCCCAGGGAAAUUAGGAAGUGAGAACAGAUAACUCGCCCACUUGUGACCGAUGAGUGAGUGACGCCCAGUCCACUCGGGCACACAGUGGCUCUCUGAGGAACAUUUCAUGAAGGUGCGCUUGUCUCUGUACAGUAGAUUCUAGAAGGCCUUGGGUGUGUGUCUGUUAGUGGCAGAGCCACAUCAGACGCUGGUGACUGUUUGGGGCUGGGCACUGUCGUCGAGGGUAUGUUCAGCUAUGACAGCCCAAGGAUAUCUACUGAGGACAUUUACCUGCUUUUGAAGCUGCACACCGUUUCUGAAUUCUCCACAGCGCUGAGGCUUAUCUCCGAGCGCCACACCGUCUUAUCUGAAGUUUUCUUCCUUUCCUCUUCCUAAGAAGAUUUAUAACCCAGAAAAGCCACGCCAUGAUUUCUGCUUCCAAAAUUGUAUUCUGGUUGUUUUAUUUUGCUCCCUGUCCUCUGUUGGCUUCGAGUAUGCUGUUGAACAAUCUACAAAUUCCCAGAGUGUCUUUCACUUUGUAGGCACCGUAGACCGUUAUCUUUGCUGUAUCUUUUAUAGAAUGUUAAUAAAUUCCAGGUUAU
rnacentral:lncRNA from 1 species